rnacentral:rRNA from 1 species
CUACGGAGGGUGCAAGCGUUGUCGGGAUUUAUUGGGUUUAAAGGGUGCGUAGGUGGUUUUUUAAGUCAGUGGUGAAAGCCUACAGCUUAACUGUAGAGGUGCCAUUGAAACUGGGGAACUUGAGUAUGGACGAGGUAGGCGGAAUUUGUGGUGUAGCGGUGAAAUGCAUAGAUACCACAAAGAACACCGAUAGCGAAGGCAGCUUACUAGGCCAUAACUGACACUGAGGCACGAAAGUGUGGGGAGCGAACAGGAUUAGAAACCCCGGUAGUCC